rnacentral:sRNA from 1 species
CCUCAUGCUAAUAGUAUAAAAGAUAAUAUUGAAGAGGAAAGAAGACUUUUCUACGUUGGAGUAACAAGAGCUAUAGAUAAUCUUUAUUUAUUUUCACCAAGAAA